rnacentral:rRNA from 1 species
AGAGUUUGAUCCUGGCUCAGGAUGAACGCUAGCGGCAGGCCUAAUACAUGCAAGUCGAGGGGCAGCAUUCACUUCGGUGAGAUGGCGACCGGCGCACGGGUGCGUAACGCGUAUGCAACCUACCCUUUACUGCGGGAUAGCCCGGGGAAACCCGGAUUAAUACCGCAUGGUACCAAUUGAGGGCAUCUAAAGAUGGUUAAAGAUUUAUCGGUAAAGGAUGGGCAUGCGUGACAUUAGUUAGUUGGUGAGGUAACGGCUCACCAAGACGACGAUGUCUAGGGGGUCUGAGAGGAUGAUCCCCCACACUGGCACUGAGAUACGGGCCAGACUCCUACGGGAGGCAGCAGUAGGGAAUAUUGGUCAAUGGGCGCAAGCCUGAACCAGCCAUGCCGCGUGCAGGAAGACGGCCUUCUGGGUUGUAAACUGCUUUUAUCAGGGAACAAAAAGCUCCUGCGGGAGAAAUUGCGUGUACCUGAAGAAUAAGGACCGGCUA